AUUGAACGCUGGCGGCAGGCCUAACACAUGCAAGUCGAGCGCGCGGCGGACGCGUGAGUAUUGUAUGGGGACAGCGCGAUAGAGGGGGAUAACUACUGGAAACGGUGGCUAAUACCGCACACUCUCUGGUAAUACAUAUGGGAUUAGCUAGUAGGUAAGGUAAUGGCUUACCUAGGCGACGAUCCCUAGCUGGUCUGAGAGGAUGAUCAGCCACACUGGGACUGAGACACGGCCCAGACUCCUACGGAGGCAGCAGUGGGGAAUAUUGCACAAUGGGCGCAAGCCUGAUGCAGCCAUGCCGCGUGUAUGAAGAAGGCCCUAGGGUUGUAAAGUACUUUCAGUCGGGAGGCGUUACCGACAGAAGAAGCACCGGCUAACUCCGUGCCAGCAGCCGCGGUAAUAC
rnacentral:rRNA from 1 species